rnacentral:rRNA from 1 species
AACGCGAAGAACCUUACCAGCCCUUGACAUGUCCCGUGUGGGUUUCAGAGAUGAGAUCCUUCAGUUCGGCUGGCGGGAACACAGGUGCUGCAUGGCUGUCGUCAGCUCGUGUCGUGAGAUGUUGGGUUAAGUCCCGCAACGAGCGCAACCCUCGCCUUUAGUUGCCAUCAUUCAGUUGGGCACUCUAAAGGGACUGCCGGUGAUAAGCCGCGAGGAAGGUGGGGAUGACGUCAAGUCCUCAUGGCCCUUACGGGCUGGGCUACACACGUGCUACAAUGGCGGUGACAGAGGGAUGCAAAGGGGCGACCCUUCGCAAAUCUCAAAAAGCCGUCUCAGUUCGGAUUGGGCUCUGCAACUCGAGCCCAUGAAGUUGGAAUCGCUAGUAAUCGCAGAUCAGCACGCUGCGGUGAAUACGUUCCCGGGCCUUGUA